rfam:Dipodomys ordii contig_17837, whole genome shotgun sequence.
GGUGGCUCAGUGGUAGAGUGUUUGCCUUGCAUGCAUGAAGCCCUGGGUUCAAUUCCUCAGCACCA